UGGGCGCAAGCCUGAUCCAGCAAUGCCGCGUGGGUGAAGAAGGUUUUCGGAUUGUAAAGCCCUUUCGGCGGGGACGAUGAUGACGGUACCCGCAGAAGAAGCCCCGGCUAACUUCGUGCCAGCAGCCGCGGUAAUACGAAGGGGGCUAGCGUUGCUCGGAAUGACUGGGCGUAAAGGGCGCGUAGGCGGAUUGUACAGUCAGGCGUGAAAUUCCUGGGCUCAACCUGGGGGCUGCGUUUGAUACGUAUGGUCUUGAGUUCGGAAGAGGGUCGUGGAAUUCCCAGUGUAGAGGUGAAAUUCGUAGAUAUUGGGAAGAACACCGGUGGCGAAGGCGGCGACCUGGUCCGAUACUGACGCUGAGGCGCGAAAGCGUGGGGAGCAAACAGGAUUAGAUACCCUGGUAGUCCACGCCGUAAACGAUGUGCGCUGGAUGUUGGGCGACCUAGUCGCUCAGUGUCGCAGCUAACGCGAUAAGCGCACCGCCUGGGGAGUACGGCCGCAAGGUUGAAACUCAAAUGAAUUGACGGGGAAUCGAAUUCCCGCGGCCGCCAUGGCGGCCGGGAGCAUGCGACGUCGGGCCCAAUUCGCCCUWGGGGGNNN
rnacentral:rRNA from 1 species